rnacentral:misc_RNA from 2 species
AACGCACAUUGCGCCCACUGGUAUUCCGGUGGGCAUGCCUGUUCGAGCGUCAUUAUCCUCCCUCAAACCCUCGUGUUUGGUGUUGGGCCGCGUUGGUGCAAGCCAACUGGUCUCAAAGACAAUGACGGCGUCCGUGGGACCCUCUUCGCAACGAGCAUCUUCGGAAGCACGCGUCGAGUCUAAAGGACCUUCCGGGCCGGUCUACCCUUUAUCUUUCUAAGGUUGACCUCGGAUCAGGUAGGAAUACCCGCUGAACUUAA